UAGACAAUAAUUUUAUUUUAUCUAUCAGAACACCAAAUAUCACUAUUUUCAGAAAUUCAUACUUAAUUGUGUCUUCAUAACAUGGCCUCACAUUGGGAUGGAUGUGUGCAAUUUGGAAAGCAAAGCCCAAGAGACAACCUAAGAGACAUUCCUUCAAAAUCUCUUACUUGUUCCUCAGGAGAAUAUGUUACUUGUUUUCCUGAUCAACCUACUGUACAUCCCUGUUAUUUUUCUUAAAGCUGUUUCCCACCUUUGGUAGAAUCUGGGAAAAAUAUGUUGCUUCUACUUUAAUGCCUUUUUACAUAGUUCAGCAUUAGAGCAGGAUCUGUGUGUGAACUUAUUUUCCAUCUUUUGUGUGAUCCAGAAUAUCAACAUUAGAAAAUAAGGCCAAUAAUUCGCCUUAAAAAGUUUAGAGAAAGUUUUCCUCUAGUCAUGAUCAAGAUUUUAUGGUUUGCCACUCUUUCUGCAACAAUCCAGACCAACAUCGUGGAUCUAAAGCCCUGAAUUUAGUAGAGAAUUUGGGAUCUGAGUCCAAAUUUGAACUCUGCAGUACAGACCCAUUUCUAGUUAGCAACUGUUCUGCUGAUUUGUGUGUGUGUGUGUUUAUCCAUUUUGUUCCUUUGUUCCAAUUCUGUCAUUUUGGUCUUAUUAAAAAGUUCAGCUUAC